GCGGUCCCACCCACUGCGCCCAGAACGGAGCCCGCGUUUCCGCAGAGCUGGAGCUCCCGGCUCGGGGUCUCUUCCCUCCGCCUUCACGGAACUGCCCCGGAGCCCGCGGCGAGGGCGGCCUCACUGACGCUGCCGGCUCUGGAGGGGCCCCGGAGGCCGAAGCCGCGACAGUCGUGCGGACGGCGGGCCGGUUGUUUCAACAAGUAACUUAAAGACCAAAUGGAAAAAAAGGAGGUUUGUGCCUGAGAUCAUGUUGAUGUGAAACCAGGGAUGGCCACCUUGUCCCAGGUACAAAACAAAGAAUCGCUUUGCACAAAGCCAGAAGGGAUACACUGAAAGAAUGAUCAGAAAAGAAUAAUACACAGGUACAAAACAAAGAAUCGCUUUGCACAAAGCCAGAAGGGAUACACUGAAAGAAUGAUCAGAAAAGAAUAAUACAUAGGUACAAAACAAAGAAUCGCUUUGCACAAAGCCAGAAGGGCUACACUGAAAGAAUGAUCAGAAAAGAAUAAUACAUAGGUACAAAACAAAGAAUCGCUUUGCACAAAGCCAGAAGGGCUACACUGAAAGAAUGAUCAGAAAAGAAUAAUACAUAGGUACAAAACAAAGAAUCGCUUUGCACAAAGCCAGAAGGGCUACACUGGAAGAAUGAUCAGAAAAGAAUAAUACAUAGCAGGCCCACCGCUACGCCUCUCACCUGAGAAGUCCAGAAUCGGGAAGACACAGGCUGUAUCAGUUGCACUGCAGACUUAUUCACAAUAGCCAAGAUGGUGAAGCAACCAAAAUGUCCAUCAACAGGUGAAUGGAUAAAGAAGAAGAGGUCCAUGUACACAAUGGAAUAUUCACCAUGGAGAACAAUGAAUUAGUGCUCUUUGAGGCACCACAGAUGAGCCUAGAGAUAAUCAUGGAACAUGAGAAACAAAAACGGCUUGGAAAAAUGAUGAAUGUUAGGUAUUUGUAAAGACACGCAAACCCAAAUUACAAAAACCUAUCAGCUCACAGCAGUCAGAAUGGCCAUUAACAAAAUGCUGCAAGCAAUAAAUGCUGAAGCAAUUGUGGAGAAGUGCGUACCCUCCGUUCUAAGGGGGACGUGGUAAGGGCCACUAAUGAAAACACAAUGGAGGUGCUUUGAAAAGGGAAACAUUGCGCUACCAGGCAAUCAGUCAUACCCACUGCUGGACCUGUCACCUGAGAAAAUGAGAAUCAAAACCUCACAGACUGGCAGUUCUGCACUCCAGCAAUACUUACCAUAGCCAACACUUGGAAGCAACGAAAAUGUCCAUCAACAGAGGAGUGUACCAAGAAGCAGUGGUCCAUGUACACAAUGGAAUAUUACUCCAAUAAAAAGUAUAAAUUAAAUUUAAAAACAAACAUAAGUAAGGAGACGUAAGCAUUUGGGGGUUUAUCUGGGCACAUUCCUCUCUAAUUUAUAACCGAGGAACACCAGUGGCAGGAAGGUCUGUUUCCCUAGUACCAGCGUGGGGAACUUAGAAAGGCUGCCACCCUCUGGCUGUUCCCUGCAAAAGCAGCUUUAAAGCCUGUGCUAAUGGUCACUUCAUGUGAACAAGUACUGCAGGGCUGUAAAUGAAACCUGCCCUCAAAAUGUCUUGAGGGAGGUAAUGGCCAAAAAAUUUCAAAAUGUGACACAUACUUUAAGAAAACACUUUGAGGGCCUCCCUGGUGGCGUAGUGGUUGAGAGUCCGCCUGCCGAUGCAGGGGAUACGGGUUCGUGCCCCGGUCUGGGAGGAUCCCAUAUGCCGCGGAGCGGCUGGGCCAAUGAGCCACGGCCUCUGGGCCUGCGCAUCCGGAGCCUGUGCUCCGCAACGGGAGAGGCCACAACAGUGAGAGGCCCGCAUACCGCAAAAAGAAAAAAAAAUAAAAUAAAUAAAAAGAAAACACUUUGAAGAGCUAAGCUGUAAUCACAGUUUGAAAAAUAAGAAGGACAUGCCUUAAAGCUUAAUGUCAAGGGAUUAUGAGACACACGGAAAUUCAACCACAAAGAGGUAUCAGUUCACACCCCUCAGAAUAACCUUCAGCACGAAACCCAUAAUCAAUAACUGCUGGGGCUUCCCUGGUGGCGCAGUGGUUGAGAGUCCACCUGCGAUGCAGGGGACGCGGGUUCGUACUCCGUUCUGGGAAGAUCCCACAUGCCGCGGGUGCCUGUGCUCCGCAACGGGAUAGGCCACAACAGUGAGAGGCCCGUGUACCGCAAAACAAACAAACGAAAAUAAAUGAAUGAAUGAAUGAAUGCAUGUAUGCUGAAGGUGUUGUGGAGAAAUGCAUACCCUCAACUUUCAGUGGGAUGUACCCUGGAAAGAGCCACUAAUGAGAACAGAAUGGAGAUGCCUUUAAAAGGUAAACAUUGAGCUACAAUAUAAACCAGCAGGCCCAUUCCUGGACCUACAACCAAAGAAGACAGAAUUGGAAAGGCACAGGAAGGCAAAUGUGCACUGCACAUAUUACAAUAGCCAAGAUAUGGAAGCAACCAAAAAGUCCAGCAACAGAUGGGUGGACAAAGAAGAACUGCUACAUGUAGAGAUGGAAUAUUAGCUGGGGAAAAAAUGAAACAAUGCCAUUUGCAGCACCAUCGAUGAGUCUAGAAGUAAUCACCCGAGUUGUGGUAAGUGAGAAAGCAAAAGACACAUAUCCUAUCAUAUCACUUAUAGGUGUGAGCUAAAAGUUGAUAACAAUGAAGAUAUUUCCACAGAGAAAGGCAAUUACAGAUUCAUUAAACCAACUUAGGGUCCACCAUAAGGAAAGGUGUGAGGAUUGGAUACAUUACAUUAUUGGGGUUAACAGAGAUAUACAAACGCAUGUGAAAUAUAUAAUCACCAAAGACCUACGGCAUACCAAGAGAAGACUACUCAACAUUGUGUCAUAACCUACAUGGGAAAAGGAUCUGAAGAAGACUAGAUAUAUGUAUAUGUGUAAAACAUCCCCAUCUUGCACACCUAGAACAAAGAAAACAUUGUAAUCAAAUUGGCUGUGAUCAAAAAUAAUAAUUAAGUUAAAAAACGAACAGGAUGGAAUGAGACGUAAUCUUAAAGGGAUUUUCCUGGCACUUUCCAUUCUAAUUUACAACCUACAGCACAACUUCCAUUAUGGCUGUCUUGCCCUAGUAACCAGAUUUGGUAAGGAGAAAUGCUUCUGUCUUCUGGCCGUUCCACACAACAGGAGCUUUGAACCCAGCGCUAGUGGUCACUUAAUUUUCAAAAUAAUUGCAGGCCUGUAAUAGACACCUACCAUCAAAGAAAAAAAUCCUGGGGUCGUAAAUCGACCAGAAAAUUCAAAAGACGUCAACAUUUCAAAAACAGAAUCAAGAGGCAUAUUUUAAGCACAUUUUGUGUUUUCUUGCUUUUUUUUUCUUUAAAAAAGGAAUGGGAAUGCUCAACGUCAGCAAUUAAUAAAGAUUGCAAAUCCAAUCUACAGAAACCUUUACCACACAGCCAUCAGAAUGAUCACCAGGAGGAUAGUGUACAAAGGUAUAAAUGCUGAAAAGGUUUUAGAGAACUGUGUACCCUCUAGCCGCUGCGGGUGGAUAAACUGGUAAGAGACAGUAGGGAGAAGAGAGUGGCGGUGCCUUUAAAGGUAAAAAUUGAGCUGCCAUGUGAUCUGGUAGGUCCUUUCAUGCGCCUACCACCUGAGCAGACCAGAAUGAAAAAGGUACCGGCUGGCAAUCCUGCACUGCAGGAACAUUAACCAUAGCCAAGACUUGGAAGAACCCAAAAUGUCCAUCAACAGAAAAAUGUACAAGGAAGAAGUGGUCCAUGUACACAAUGGAAUAUUAGCCAUGGAAUAGAAUAAAAGUGUGCCGUGUGCACCACCAUAGAAGGACCUAAUAAAGAUCAUCACCAAACUUGAAGUAUGAAAAAAAUGGAAAGACAGACAUCCUAUGACAUCACUUAUAGGUGUUAACUAAAAAUUGAUACCCACGAACUUAUUUCCAAGAGAAGGAAAAGCAUGGAUUAAGAAAAUAAAAGUACGUUUAACCUGAUGGAAAGUUGUAAGGAAUGGAUGAAUUAGGAUAUGGGGGUUAAGAGACAUGUACUAAUACAUAUGAAAUGUUUAAUCACAAAAUACCUAUGGAAUACCAAGAAAGGUCUACUCAACACUCUGUAAUAACCUACACAGGAAGGGCUCCAAAGAUGAGUAGACAGAUACAUUGAUAUAAUGAACCAGAUUCUGUACACCUAGGAGAAACAAAAUAUUUUUUUAUCGAAUUUGCUCUGAUAAUUAAUAAAAACUAAAUUUAAAAACAAUCAAGAAGAAAGGAGAUAUAAGCUCUUGGGGGUUUUCCCUGGCACAUUCUACUCUAAUUUGCAGCCUACUAACACGAUUUCCUGGAAGGCUGUACUGCCCAAAAACGGAGUGGGAAAUGUACAAAUGCUGCCGGUUUGUGGACGUUUCCCACAAGCGCGGCUUUAAGCCCACAGCUAAUGGUCACUUAACAUUCACAAGGACUCAGCGCUGUAAAGGACACCUGCCCUAAAAAAAUUGUGCUGCGGAAGGGAAUGGACAAAAAAUUUCAGAACAGGCAAAUGUUUCAAGAAUAUAUUAUGAAGACGUAAGUUUGACUCUCUUUAAAAAAAAAAAAGGAAAAUGAAUAAACGCUCAACCUCAGGAAUUAUUAGAUUCAUGCAACUCUAAUCUACAAAAAGUUUACAACUCACACCUGUCCACUGACGAUCAGCAAAAAGUCUACACACAGUAAACACUGAAGGAGUUUUAGAGAACUGUGUACCUUCUAGCUGCUGGUGAGAUGUAAAGUGGUAACAGCCAAUAAUGAGAACAGAAAGGAGCUGCGUUAGCAAAGUAAAAAUUGAGGUACCAUUCGACGCAGCAGGCCCACCGCUAGGCCUCUCACCUGAGAAGUUCAGAAUCGGGAAGACACAGGCUGCAACAGCUGCACUGUGUGGCCUUAUUCACAAUAGCCAAGAUGGUGAAGCAACCAAAAUGUCCAUCAACAGGUGAAUGGAUAAUGAAGUAGAGGUCCAUGUACACAAUGGAUCGUUCCCCAUUUAAAACAAUGAAACACUGCUCUUUGAGGCACCACAAAUGAGCUAAGAGAUAAUCAUGGAACAUGAGGUAAUUUGCAAAGCAAAAGACCUAUAUCCUAUGAUAUUACUUAUAGGCGUUAUCUAAUAGCUGACCCAAAUAUACGUAUUUCCACAGAGAAAGACAAUAACAAAUGUAGGAAAAAAUAUACUUAUCUAAAAGGAAAGGUGGGGGGAAUGGAUAAAUGAAGAUCAGUGUUAUGUAUACCAAUACAUAUUAUAUACAUGUGUCAAAAAGACCGACCAUAUAGCAAGGGAGGUCUACGGAACACUGUGUAAUAUUUUGCAUGGGAAGAGGAUCUGUAUAUGAAUAGACAUAUGAAAUGUACAAAUGAACCAGAUUGUGUACACCUAGGACAAACAAUAUUCUAAUCAUUACACCGAUUACAAAAAUUAAGACAACCAACAAGAAGUAAUGAGACAUAAACGUAUGGGGGUUUCUCCUGGCACAUUCCAUUCUAAUUUACAACCUAGGAACACGACUUCCAGAAAGGCUCUGCUGCCCUACUACCCAGAUUGGGGAAUGGAGAAAUGCUGCCUCCUAGUGGCCGUUUCACACAACUGCAGCUUUAAACCCACUGCUAAUGGUCACUAACUAUUCACCAAUCUUGCAGUUCUGUAAUGACACCUGUCCACCAAAAUAAUCCUGGGGUCGAAAAUUGAAUAAGAAAUUGAAAAGAGGGCAACCUUCCAAGAGGACAAUUUGAAAAGGUUUAUUGUAUGCAUACUUCUUUCUCCUUUUUUAAAAAACACAAACAAAAAAAGCUUGGAAAAAUGAUGAGUUUUAGGAAUUUAUAAAGACAUGCAAACCCAAAUUACAAAAACCUAUCAGCUCACAGCAGUCAGAAUGGCCAUUAACAAAAUGCUUCAAGCAAUAAAUGCUGAAGCAAUUGUGGAGAAGUGCGUACCCUCCGUUCUAAGGGGGACGUGGUAAGAGCCACUAAUGAAAACACAAUGGAGGUGCUUUGAAAAGGGAAACAUUGCGCUACCAGGCAAUCAGUCAUACCCACUGCUGGACCUGUCACCUGAGAAAAUGAGAAUCAAAACCUCACAGACUGGCAGUUCUGCACUCCAGCAAUACUUACCAUAGCCAACACUUGGAAGCAACGAAAAUGUCCAUCAACAGAGGAGUGCACCAAGAAGCAGUGGUCCAUGUACACAAUGGAAUAUUACUCCAAUAAAAAGUAUAAAUUUAAAAACAAAGAUAAGUAAGGAGACAGAAGCAAUUGGGGGUUUAUCUGGGCACAUUCCUCUCUAAUUUAUAACCGAGGAACACCAGUGGCAGGAAGGUCUGUUUCCUUAGUACCAGCAUGGGGAACGUAGAAAGGCUGCCACACUCUGUCCGUUACCUGCAAAAGCAGCUUAAAACCUGUGCUAAUGGUCACUUCAUGUGAACAAGUACUGCAUGGCUGUAAAUGAGACCUGCCCACAAAAUGCCUUGAGGGAGGUAAUGGCCAAUAAAUUUCAAAAUGUGACACAUACUUUAAGAAAACACUUUGUAGAGCUAAGCUGUAAUCACAGUUUGAAAAAUAAAAUGGACAUGCCUUAAAGCUUAAUUUCAACAGAUUAUGAGACACACGCAAAUUCAGCUACAAAGAGGUUUCAGCUGGUACACCUCAGAAUAACCAUCAGCAAGAAACCUAUAAACAAUAAAUGCUGAAGUGUUUGUGGAGAAAUGCAUAACCUCAACUUUCAGUUGGCCGUACCCUUGAAAGAUCCACUAAUGAGAACAGAAUGGAGAUGCCUUUAAAAGGUACACAUUGAGCUACAAUAUCAUUCAGCAGGCCCAUUCCUGGACCUAUAACCAAAGAAGACAGAAUUGGAAAGGCACAGGAAGGCAAAUGUGCACUGCACAGUAUUACAAUAGCCAAGAUAUGGAAGUAACCAAAAAGUCCAGCAACAGAUGAGUGGACAAAGAAGAACUGGUACAAGUACAGACAAAAUAUUAGCCAAGGAAAAAACGGACACAUUGCCCUGUGCAGCACUGUAGAUGAUUCUAGAUGUAAUCACACAACCUGGAGUAAGAAAGAGAAAUACACGUAUCAUAUGAUAUCACUUAUAGGUGUUACCUAAAAAUUGAUACCAGUGAAGAUAUUCCCACAGAGAAGGGCUAUCAGAGAUUCAUUAAACAAAUUUAUGGUUCACCAAUGGAAAGGUGUGAGGAUUGGAUACAUUAGGAUAUUGGGGUUAACAGACGUAUACAAACACAGGUGAAAUAUAUAAUCACCAAAGACCUACGGAAUACCAAGAGAAGACUAUUCAACAUUCUGUCAUAACGUACAUGGGAUAAGGAUCCCAGGAAGAAUAGACAUAUGUUUAUGUGUAAAACAACCACAUCUUGCACACCUAGAACAAGCCAAACCCUGUAAUCAAACUUUCUGUGAUAAAAAAUAAAAAUUAAAUAAAAACAACGAACAAGAAGUAGUGAGACAUAAACUUAAGGGGCUUUUUCCUGCCACACUGCAUUCUAAGUUAUAACCUAGAACACGACUUCCAUUGAGGCUCUGUUGCCCUAGUAACCAGAUUUGGUAAGGGAGAACUGCUGCCACCUUGUGGCCGUUUCACACAACAGCAGCUUUAAUCCCAGCGCUAAUGGUCAGUGGAUAUUCAAAAUAAUUUCAGGCCUGUAAAUGACACCUGCCCUGAAAACAAAUCCUGGGGUCAUAUAUCGACCAAAAAAUUCAAAAGACGUCCAUAUUUCAAAACGACAGUUUCAAGAGGCAUAAUUUAUGCACAUUUGGCUUCUGUUUCUUUUCCUUUCUUUGUUUCUUAAAAAAUUGGGAACGGAAAAGGGCUGAACAUCAGGAAUUAAUAAAGCCAUGCAAGUCCAGUGUACGAAAACGUUCACCUCACAGCCGUCAGAAUGAUUAUCAGCAAAAAAAGUCUAAAAGAAUAAAUGCUGAAGGGGUUUUAGAGAACUGUGUACCCUUUAGCUGCUGGUGGGAUGAAACCUGGUAACAGCCAGUAGUGAGACCAGAUUGGAGGUGCGUUUAAGGGUAAAAAUGGAGCUACCAUGUGAUCUUGUAGGCCCACUCAUGGGGUUAUCACCUGAUUAGACCAGAAUCAAAAAGACACAGGCUGGCAAUCCUGCACUGCAGCAACAUGUACCAUCCCAAGACCUGGAAGAAACCAAAAUGUCCAUCAACAGAAAAAUGCACCAAGAAGAAGUCGUCCAUGUACACAAUGGAAUAUUAGCCAUGAAAAAGCAGGGAACAGUGCCGUUGGCACCACCAUAGAAGGAUCUACAGACAAUCACCCAACAUGAAGUAAGAUAGAAACCGAAAGAGAGACAUCCUAUGACAUCACUUAUAGGUGUUACCUAAAAAUUGAUACCCAUGAAAUAAUUUCCAAGAGAAGGACACACAUAGAUUCAGAAAACCAAAUUAUGUUUAACCAAAUGGAAAGGUGUAAGGAAUGUAUGAAUUAGGAUAUGGGGGUUAACAGACAUGUACUAAUACAUAUGAAAUAUAUAAUCACACAAUACCUAUGGAAUACGAAGAGAGGUCUACUCAACACUCUAUAACAUACACGGGAAAGAAUCCAAAGAGGAAUAGACAGAUACAUUGAUAGGAUGAAUCAGAGACUGUACACCUAGGAGAAUCUACAUUUUUAUCAAAUUUGCUCUGAUAAUUAAUAAAAGUUAAAUUUAAAAAACAAACAAUAAUUUAGGAGAUAUAAACUCUUGGGGCUUUUCGCUGGCACAUUCCACUCUAAUUUGCUGCUUACUAACACAAUUUCCAGGAAAGCUCUGUUGCCCAAAAACCCAGAGUUGGAAAUGUAGAAAUGCUGCCGCCUUGUGGCCGUUUCCCACAAGAGCGGCUUUAAACCCACAGCUAAUGGUCACUUAACAUUCAGAAGGACUCAGGGCUGUAAAGGACACCUGCCCUAUACAACUGUGCGGAGGUGGGGAAUGGCCAAAAAAAUUCAAAACUACAAAUUUUUCAAGAAAAUAAUAUGAAGAGGUUAAUUUGGCUCACUCUCUUUUAAAAAAAGGAAAAUGGAUAAAAGCUCAACCUCAGUAAUUAUUAGACACAUGCAAAUCUAAUCUACAAAAAGGUUUCAACUCACGCCAGUCAACUGGCCAUCAGCAAAAAGACUACAAACAAUAAAUAUUGAAGGGGUUUUAGAGAACACUGUACCCUCUAGCUUCUGGUGAGAUGUAAAGUGGUAACAGCCAAUAAUGAGAACAGAAGGGAGCUGCAAUUAAAAUAAAAAUUGAGGUACCAUUCAAUCCAGCAGUCACACCACUGGGCCUCUCACCUGAGACCUGAAUCAAGAAGACCCGGGCUGCAAAAUCUGCACUGCAGCCUUAUUCACAAUAGCCAAGACAGUGAAGCAACCAAAAGGUUCAUCAACAGAUGAACAGAUAAAGAAGAAGUGGUCUAUUUAUACAACAGAAUAUUAGCCAUGGAAAACAAUGAAACACUGCUAUUUGAGGCACCAUAGAUGAGCUUGGAGAUAAUCACAGAACAUGAGGUUCCUUCGCCAGCGCAUGGAGGAAGUCUCUCGGGUGGCCACAAACCAAAUGUUCCUCGGUCCUUACACCUUGCUUCCUACAGAAACCCCCACUGGUUUCCCCUAAGCCUCGGACCUCUGGUCGCCCGACUCCCCUUUCGAUGCCCCCAUUCAGCAUGAAGUAGCCAGAGAUCGGAACGCCACCCCAUUACACCAAAGAUGUCGGGAUGUAAGGCCAACUGGCCCGAGGCAGGGGAACGCAAUCAGAUUCACAGGUUGCAUCAGACCGAAACUCUCCGGACCACCCAAUUCCAGAAACUGACCUGGAGACAUUCCGGACCACCCAGUUCCAGGAACUGACCUGGGGGCUUUCCACCCGGCCCAGCCUUCCCGCCUUUCGAGGGACGGGACUAGCGGUCCCAAGACUGAUGGAACAGGCACCAGAUAGUGCCACGACACCCGAAGAGACCACCAGAUAAGGAAUUCCCUGCGCCCUCCCAGAUGCACCACACCCCUUUCCCUUCUUCCCCUAUAAAAUCUUGCCCAGCCCUCGCCCGGGGGCGACUUCUCUGGCCCCCUUCUCUCGGACGAGUGAACCUCGCCCGGGAACGCCCCCUAAUAAAGCUCACUUGAAGCUUUC